rnacentral:rRNA from 1 species
GAUGAACGCUGGCGGCGUGCCUAAUACAUGCAAGUCGAGCGAACGGACGAGAAGCUUGCUUUUCUGAUGUUAGCGGCGGACGGGUGAGUAACACGUGGAUAACCUACCUAUAAGACUGGGAUAACUUCGGGAAACCGGAGCUAAUACCGGAUAAUAUUUUGAACCGCAUGGUUCAAUAGUGAAAGACGGUCUUGCUGUCACUUAUAGAUGGAUCCGGGCUGCAUUAGCUAGUUGGUAAGGUAACGGCUUACCAAGGCAACGAUGCAUAGCCGACCUGAGAGGGUGGUCGGCGACAUGGGAGCUGGGACACGGUCAAGGCUCCUACGGGAGGCAGCAGUAGGGAAUGUUCCGCAAUGGUGGAAAACCUUGCGCAGCAGGCCCGCGUGAGAUAUGAAGGUCUUCCGAGCGUAAUGCUGUGUUUUUGGUGGAGAACAGAUGUGGAAGUAACUGUGCACAUCGUGACGGUACCUGAUCAGAAAGCCCCGGCUAACUACGUG